AAUAGAUACCCCGGUAGUCCACGCCGUAAACGAUGUCAACUAGCCGUUGGAAUCCUUGAGAUUUUAGUGGCGCAGCUAACGCAUUAAGUUGACCGCCUGGGGAGUACGGCCGCAAGGUUAAAACUCAAAUGAAUUGACGGGGGCCCGCACAAGCGGUGGAGCAUGUGGUUUAAUUCGAAGCAACGCGAAGAACCUUACCAGGCCUUGACAUGCAGAGAACUUUCCAGAGAUGGAUUGGUGCCUUCGGGAACUCUGACACAGGUGCUGCAUGGCUGUCGUCAGCUCGUGUCGUGAGACGUUGGGUUAAGUCCCGUAACGAGCGCAACCCUUGUCCUUAGUUACCAGCACGUCAUGGUGGGCACUCUAAGGAGACUGCCGGUGACAAACCGGAGGAAGGUGGGGAUGACGUCAGGUCAUCAUGGCCCUUACGGCCUGGGCUACACACGUGCUACAAUGGUCGGUACAGAGGGUUGCCAAGCCGCGAGGUGGAGCUAAUCUCACAAAAACCGAUCGUAGUCCGGAUCGCAGUCUG
rnacentral:rRNA from 1 species